rnacentral:rRNA from 1 species
UAUAGGGGAGCCGUAGAGAAAUCGAGUCUUAAUAGGGCGUUUAGUUGCUGGGUAUAGACCCGAAACCAGGCGAUCUAUCCAUGAGCAGGUUGAAGGUUGGGUAACACUAACUGGAGGACCGAACCCACUGUCGUUGAAAAGCCAGGGGAUGACUUGUGGAUAGGGGUGAAAGGCUAAUCAAGCCUGGUGAUAGCUGGUUCUCCCCGAAAGCUAUUUAGGUAGCGCCUCGGACGAAUACCAUAGGGGGUAGAGCACUGUUUCGGCUAGGGGGUCAUCCCGACUUACCAAACCGAUGCAAACUCCGAAUACCUAUGAGUACUAUCCGGGAGACAGACUGCGGGUGCUAACGUCCGUAGUCAAGAGGAAAACAAUCCAGACCGCCAGCUAAGGCCCCAAAAUCAUAGUUAAGUGGGAAACGAUGUGGGAAGGCAUAGACAGCUAGGAGGUUGGCUUAGAAGCAGCCACCCUUUAAAGAAAGCGUAAUAGCUCACUAGUCGAGUCGGCCUGCGCGGAAGAUGUAACGGGGCUAAAACUAUGUGCCGAAGCUGCGGAUGUAUACUUUGUAUACGUGGUAGGGGAGCGUUCUGUAAGCCGAUGAAGGUGUGUUGAGAAGCAUGCUGGAGGUAUCAGAAGUGCGAAUGCUGACGUGAGUAACGACAAAACGGGUGAAAAACCCGUUCGCCGAAAGACCAAGGGUUCCAGUCCAACGUUAAUCGGGGCUGGGUGAGUCGACCCCUAAGGCGAGGCCGAAAGGCGUAGUCGAUGGGAAAAUGGUUAAUAUUCCAUUACUUCUGUGUAAUGCGAUGAGAGGACGGAGAAGGCUAAAUCAGCCUGGCGUUGGUUGUCCAGGUGAAAGGAUGUAGGCAUGUAUCUUAGGCAAAUCCGGGGUACUCUAUGCUGAGAUCUGAUAGCAAGCUGUACUUGUACAGCGAAGUGGUUGAUGCCAUGCUUCCAGGAAAAGUCUCUAAGCUUCAGUUACACAGGAAUCGUACCCGAAACCGACACAGGUGGUCAGGUCGAGUAGACCAAGGCGCUUGAGAGAACUCUGCUGAAGGAACUAGGCAAAAUGGUACCGUAACUUCGGGAGAAGGUACGCUGUUGUUGGUGAUGGAACUCGCUUCCUGAGCUGACGACAGCCGCAGAAACCAGGCCGCUGCAACUGUUUAUUAAAAACAUAGCACUCUGCAAACACGAAAGUGGACGUAUAGGGUGUGAUGCCUGCCCGGUGCUGGAAGGUUAAUUGAUGGGGUUAGCGUAAGCGAAGCUCUUGAUCGAAGCCCCAGUAAACGGCGGCCGUAACUAUAACGGUCCUAAGGUAGCGAAAUUCCUUGUCGGGUAAGUUCCGACCUGCACGAAUGGCAUAAUGAUGGCGGCGCUGUCUCCAGCAGAGGCUCAGUGAAAUCGAAAUCGCUGUGAAGAUGCAGUGUACCCGCGGCUAGACGGAAAGACCCCGUGAACCUUUACUGCAGCUUGACACUGAACUUUGACCUUACUUGUGUAGGAUAGGUGGGAGGCUUUGAAGCUGGAACGCUAGUUCCAGUGGAGCCGUCCUUGAAAUACCACCCUGGUAAUGUUGAGGUUCUAACUCUGUCCCGUGAUCCGGGACGAGGACCGUGUCUGGUGGGUAGUUUGACUGGGGCGGUCUCCUCCUAAAGAGUAACGGAGGAGUACGAAGGUGCGCUCAGCGUGGUCGGAAAUCACGCGUAGAGUAUAAAGGCAAAAGCGCGCUUAACUGCGAGACCCACAAGUCGAGCAGGUACGAAAGUAGGUCUUAGUGAUCCGGUGGUUCUGUAUGGAAGGGCCAUCGCUCAACGGAUAAAAGGUACUCUGGGGAUAACAGGCUGAUACCGCCCAAGAGUUCAUAUCGACGGCGGUGUUUGGCACCUCGAUGUCGGCUCAUCUCAUCCUGGGGCUGAAGCAGGUCCCAAGGGUAUGGCUGUUCGCCAUUUAAAGAGGUACGCGAGCUGGGUUUAGAACGUCGUGAGACAGUUCGGUCCCUAUCUACCGUGGGCGCUGGAAAUUUGAGAGGAUCUGCUCCUAGUACGAGAGGACCAGAGUGGACGAACCUCUGGUGUACCGGUUGUGACGCCAGUCGCAUCGCCGGGUAGCUAUGUUCGGAAGGGAUAACCGCUGAAAGCAUCUAAGCGGGAAGCCUACCUCAAGAUAAGAUUUCCCUAGGACUUUAUGUCCUCUAAAGAGCCGUUCGAGACUAGGACGUUGAUAGGUUGGAUGUGGAAGCAUAGUGAUAUGUGAAGCUGACCAAUACUAAUUGCUCGUGAGGCUUGACUAU